rnacentral:rRNA from 1 species
CAAGUCGAGCGGGCGUAGCAAUACGUCAGCGGCAGACGGGUGAGUAACGCGUGGGAACGUACCUUUUGGUUCGGAACAACACAGGGAAACUUGUGCUAAUACCGGAUAAGCCCUUACGGGGAAAGAUUUAUCGCCGAAAGAUCGGCCCGCGUCUGAUUAGCUAGUUGGUGAGGUAAUGGCUCACCAAGGCGACGAUCAGUAGCUGGUCUGAGAGGAUGAUCAGCCACAUUGGGACUGAGACACGGCCCAAACUCCUACGGGAGGCAGCAGUGGGGAAUAUUGGACAAUGGGGGCAACCCUGAUCCAGCCAUGCCGCGUGAGUGAUGAAGGCCCUAGGGUUGUAAAGCUCUUUUGUGCGGGAAGAUAAUGACGGUACCGCAAGAAUAAGCCCCGGCUAACUUCGUGCCAGCAGCCGCGGUAAUACGAAGGGGGCUAGCGUUGCUCGGAAUCACUGGGCGUAAAGGGUGCGUAGGCGGGUCUUUAAGUCAGGGGUGAAAUCCUGGAGCUCAACUCCAGAACUGCCUUUGAUACUGAAGAUCUUGAGUUCGGGAGAGGUGAGUGGAACUGCGAGUGUAGAGGUGAAAUUCGUAGAUAUUCGCAAGAACACCAGUGGCGAAGGCGGCUCACUG